rnacentral:rRNA from 1 species
UUGAUCCUGGGUCAGAAUGAAAGCUGGCGGCAGGCCUAACACAUGCAAGUCGAGNGGUAACAGGAGAGUAGCUUGCUACUUUUGCUGACGAGCGGCGGACGGGUGAGUAAUGUUUGGGGAUCUGCCCGGUCGAGGGGGAUAACCGUUGGAAACGACGGCUAAUACCGCAUACGCCCUACGGGGGAAAGCAGGGGACCUUCGGGCCUUGCGCGAUUGGAUGAACCCAAGUGAGAUUAGCUUGUUGGUGAGGUAACGGCUCACCAAGGCGACGAUCUCUAGCUGGUCUGAGAGGAUGACCAGUCACACUGGGACUGAGACACGGUCCAGACUCCUACGGGAGGCAGCAGUGGGGAAUAUUGCACAAUGGGGGCAACCCUGAUGCAGCCAUGCCGCGUGUGUGAAGAAGGCCUUCGGGUUGUAAAGCACUUUCAGUGGUGAGGAAAGGCGGUUGGCUAAUACCCUACCCAUGUGACGUUAACCACAGAAGAAGCACCGGCUAACUCCGUGCCAGCAGCCGCGGUAAUACGGAGGGUGCAAGCGUUAAUCGGAAUAACUGGGCGUAAAGCGCACGCAGGCGGUUUGUUAAGCCAGAUGUGAAAUCCCCGGGCUCAACCCGGGAACUGCAUUUGGAACUGGCAGACUAGAGUCUUGGAGAGGGGGGUAGAAUUCCCGGUGUAGCGGUGAAAUGCGUAGAGAUCGGAAGGAAUACCGGUGGCGAAGGCGGCCCCCUGGACAAAGACUGACGCUCAGGUGCGAAAGCGUGGGGAGCAAACAGGAUUAGAUACCCUGGUAGUCCACGCCGUAAACGAUGUCAACUUGAAGUCUGUGCCAUUGUGAGCGCUGGGCUUUCGGAGCUAACGCGUUAAGUUCGACCGCCUGGGGAGUACGGCCGCAAGGUUAAAACUCAAAUGAAUUGACGGGGGCCCGCACAAGCGGUGGAGCAUGUGGUUUAAUUCGAUGCAACGCGAAGAACCUUACCUACCCUUGACAUACAGAGAACUUGGCAGAGAUGCCUUGGUGCCUUCGGGAACUCUGAUACAGGUGCUGCAUGGCUGUCGUCAGCUCGUGUCGUGAAAUGUUGGGUUAAGUCCCGCAACGAGCGCAACCCUUGUCCUUUUUUGCCAGCGGUUGAUGCCGGGAAUUCAAAGGAAACUGCCGGUGAUAAACGGGAGAAAGGGGGGGAGAACUUCAAUUCUUCUGGGCCCUUACAGUUAGGGCUACCCCCGUCCUACAAGGGCGCGUACAAAGGGCACCGAAUUUGCGAAACUAAGCGAAUCCCAAAAAUCCCUCCUUAUUCCGAAUCGAAUUCUGCAACUCACCUCCUUAAAUUCGAAAUCCCUAUUAUCCUGGAAUCAAAUGGCCCCGUUGAAUACUUUCCCGGGCCUUGUACCCCCCCCCGUUCAACCCAGGGGAAUUGGGUUUCCCCCAAAAUUAGAUACCUAACCCUUCGGGAGGGCCUUUUCCCCCGUAGUGAAUUCUGGACGGGGGUUGAAAUUCUUAACGGGGUUAACCGGC